rnacentral:lncRNA from 1 species
GGGACUCAGAGCUGGGUCCAGGGCACAGCUGCCACUCCACACCAUCUCAUGGGGCUGUGCUCCUCCCUGUGGGGUUGACUGAGCCUUGAGUCCAGCCCUGGUGGAACGGGAUGUGGAGAAGUCCCGCAUGAUGGUUGUGACACCACCAAGGAGCAAAUCAACUGCUAUCUCCACAGCAGCCGCCUCCUCCAGGCACUGCUCUGAGGCAACUGCCUUAAAUGCCAUCCCCAAGGCAACUGCCCGCCCUGAGGUAACUGCCUUCCCUGAGGCAACUGCCCGCCCUGAGGUAACUGCCUUUCCUGAGGCAACUGUCUUAACUGCCCUCCCUGAGGUAACUUCCCGCCCUGAGAUCUAGAUUUGAACCACAUGGAAGCUGACAUCUCAGAUUCAUGAAGUAUUCAGAAGCCAGAAAAGUCCUUGCUGUAUAAUUACUGAUCUUAACCUGCAAGUACAGCUUCAUGCCUGUGCAACAGAGGAAGCCUGACAGCUCCGGAUCCAGCUGUAAUGCAAUGCACCAGGCGAGCUCACGCCAUGCAGCAGGCCAUAAAGCUUAGGCACGGGGCUGUAAGGGUGCUUGGAAAUGAGCUCCGUUGCACCUUCAAGAUCACAACACUGGCAGCAUCCUUCUCACAGUGCAUCUAUGCUGUCCCUCUUCUGCCUGCCCUACGUGACGAAGCAUUCAUCUAAGCUUAAGCAGUGACUGCAGAUCCUACAGGCAGAACUCUGUGCCUGGCUCAGGUGAGCCUUUGGGCAGACUCCCACCCAAGCACAUUUUAUCUCGCUGUAAAUAAAAAACUUUUCACACAUCUUUUACCAAAAUUGAGGAUAUACUGAUAUGGUUAUGUUAAUACAAUGUUU